GAUGAAGAACGUAGCGAAAUGCGAUAAGUAAUGUGAAUUGCAGAAUUCAGUGAAUCAUCGAAUCUUUGAACGCACCUUGCGCCCUCUGGUAUUCCGGAGGGCAUGCCUGUUUGAGUGUCAUGAACACCUCACCCCCUCGGGUUUCCGAUCGGGUGGAUUUGGGUGCUGCCAGUUACAUGGCUCGCCUUAAACGCAUUAGCGGUUGUUGACGUAAUAAGUUUCGUCUUGUCGACCGCUCCUAAUCUCCCUUAGGGAUGUCUUUUAGACACUUCAUGAUCUGACCUCAAAUCAGGUAGGACUACCCGCUGAACUUAAGCAUAUCAAUAAGCGGAGGA
rnacentral:misc_RNA from 1 species